GGAGCACAUACCUUUCCUUAUAUAUAUCUUCUUCCUAUCGUCUGGCAAGGGGACUCUAUUUACCUCACGCAUAACCCAAAGUCCAGAUCUUUCUUAUGAUUGACCUGCUAUUCUUUGGACUACUGGAUUAGCAUCUGCCGCUGAAGCACAGAUCUUACGUUGGAAGGUUUAGGUACAAUCUGGCAAAACAACUAUAUUUUAGUUUCGGGCGUAUACCUGCUCUCUCUUUAGAGUGCAAAUCCUUUCUUCUUCAUCAAGGGCUGGCUUCGCUCGGGCUAUCGCCUCCGUGAGAUGGCGCAGAAAUCGCGCACGGUUCCCUCACAUCGACUAUCCCUUGUCGAGCUAGCCAAGCAACAGAAACUAUAUGAACCUAGCUCCGAUGACCAAGACUGCCCCAUAGUUAAAGCUAUAAGUAUACCAAAGGGUGAACUCGACAACGGUCCUCGCGGUUGGCGAGCGAGACAGUCCAAACUAGCUUAUUCAUAUUACCCAUUGGCGGCUUCACCGCGAACUGAUACAGCUUUAUGUCUGGGUACUAGGAUGGUAUCCAAAGGUCUGACUUGGGAACGUCAUGAUAUUGAGUAUAUGCCACGUCCUUCAGGCUAUAAUGAAUGGGGGGCAAACAUUUU